AAUUAUUGUACAUACUAGAUCUACUGCUUUUCACGUGUAUAUACAUUAUAGUUGUGAGACGCCAACUGCCCAGAGGGAAACCACGCCAUUCGCAAAAUUUCCCCUAAUUCCCUCUCACAUCUAAAGUUCUUUCAAAAUGGUGGUCGUACUUUUUUGAAGGUACUAUAAUUAUUGUUGUAAGAAUUGAUGUGAAAAAACAUAUUGCAGGAUGAUGUUGAAAGUGACACGUGUUGGAGAGAGCAUUAUACUGGACACCCUUGUAUGACCAGACCACUGUAAAGUAUCGACACAAUUGGAGGUGAUGCUGAGAAGUCAAAGGCAGUAUCUUACAAUUGCAGUGAACUGAGUGCAGACUUGCUAUGGUUAACUAACUAUAUUUAAAAAAACCUUUCACUUUUAUAUCCUCAUCGUUUGUUUAAUACAAUUUUAAUACUG